rnacentral:rRNA from 1 species
GAGUUUGAUCCUGGCUCAGAUUGAACGCUGGCGGCGUGCCUAACACAUGCAAGUCGAGCGGUAACAGGUGUAGCAAUACAUGCUGACGAGCGGCGAACGGGUGAGUAAUGCUUUGGAAUCUUCCCAGUAGUGGGGAAUAACCAGUCGAAAGAUUGGCUAAUACCGCAUACGUCUGAAAAGGGAAAGCGGGGGAUCGCAAGACCUCGCGCUAUUGGAUGAGCCAAAGUCGGAUUAGCUAGUUGGUGGGGUAAUGGCCUACCAAGGCGACAAUCCGUAGCUGGUCUGAGAGGACGACCAGCCACACCGGAACUGAGACACGGUCCGGACUCCUACGGGGGGCAGCAGUGGGGAAUAUUGGACAAUGGGGGAAACCCUGAUCCAGCGACGCCGCGUGUGUGAAGAAGGCCUGCGGGUUGUAAAGCACUUUUAGUGGGGACAAAAAGCUACGGAUUAAUACUUCGUGGUCUUGAUUUAACCCAAAGAAAAAGCACCGGCUAACUCUGUGCCAGCAGCCGCGGUAAUACAGAGGGUGCGAGCGUUAAUCGGAAUUACUGGGCGUAAAGCGCGCGUAGACGGUUUUGUAAGUCAGAUGUGAAAUCCCUGGGCUCAACCUGGGAACUGCAUUUGAAACUGCAUGGCUAGAGUAUGGUAGAGGGAAGUGGAAUUUCCGGUGUAGCGGUGAAAUGCGUAGAUAUCGGAAGGAACACCAGUGGCGAAAGCGACUUCCUGGACCAAUACU